UCUUAUAUGGGGAUAUGGAUGUGGCGGGUCUAUGGGCACCAUGCUGACGCGGAGAAGGAGGUGCAGGUAGCGGGGCGCUUGAGGUGAGGUGGCUGCAGGGUCGCUCGAGAAGAACAUGCUCAUCAGCACCACCUGGAUGCCUUCGUCAUCAGCAAUGUGGACAAGGUAAAGUGGGAUGGCGGGAUUGUAUAGUGCUCAUAAGCCAGUCCGGGCAUUGUCCUUCCUCGAAUGAAUCUGAGACUACUCCUCAUAUGUUAAUCAGUUGCUCCUCCCUAGCUUUGGUUUGGUCUGAACUUCAAAGUUUUCAUCCACCCAAUGUUGAUUCAGUCAAAGAUCUCUUGGAAAAAUUAUUUCGACAAGAUUCACUCUAUAAUGUUGUUAUCAUUGUCCUCUGGAAUAUAUGGAAGCGCAAAAACUCCAAGGUCUCCCGGGAUGUUUUUGAGGAAUUGCACAUUACUGCUAGCAAGAUUGCUGAUGAUUGAUACCAUGGUCCAACAGUUCUCAGUUUUAUGAAGUGGUUCAGGCUGGCGUAAGCCGCCAUAGUCCCAGUAAAAAAAGGCUACAAGCUUCGCUUCGGCCUUUCGGAACUGAAUAUUAUGUAGUUUUAUUGAGAUUAUUGAUAGUGCUUCUCUACUAUCAAAGAAGGUAAUAGUCUCUUAUGUGUUUCUUUUUGUCCAUUUGAAUGCACUCCAUUUUUUAGUGUAUUAAUUAACAUCAAACCUCCCAUUCUUUCUAGAGUGCUGAUGUAUUAUUAUUUUCAGCUUAACACAUUUAACUUCCUAUAGAUUUCAUGGUUUAUGCAGAUUAACCGAGCUAAGAAUUUUUGUGAAGCUAAAGCUGGUGUUAAGAUGAACGCCGCUAUGUAUAUAUUUGAAACAGUUAGAUACAUGCUUGACAGACUAUAUAGGGGUGAUCAAAACCAUGCAAAGCAUUAUG